AUGGACCGGGUCGGGUCGACCCAGGUCCAACCCUCUAUUCCAAACAAAAGCUACAGGUUAUACAACCCUAAAACAAUCGCAUACUCUCUCAAACUCCCCAUGUUCUAUUUCACGAUAUCAACUUCCUAUGUACUCUUAAAUCGUUCCUUCCCCUAUUUCUAUUCAACAUCAAACAACAACAACAACAACACAACUCCUACUCUACUUUGA